rnacentral:rRNA from 1 species
AUUGAACGCUGGCGGCAGGCCUAACACAUGCAAGUCGAACGAGUGGCGGACGGGUGAGUAAUGUCUGGGAAACUGCCCGAUGGAGGGGGAUAACUACUGGAAACGGUAGCUAAUACCGCAUACCAUCGGAUGUGCCCAGAUGGGAUUAGCUAGUAGGUGGGGUAAUGGCUCACCUAGACUGCGAUCCCUAGCUGGUCUGAGGGGAUGACCAGCCACAGCGGAACUGAGACACGGCACAGACUCCUACGGGAGGCAGCAGUGGGGAAUAUUGCACCAUGGGCGCAAGCCUGCUGCAGCCAUGCCGGGUGUAUGAGGAAGGCCUUCGGGUUGUAAAGUACUUUCAGCGAGGAGGCGUUACUCGCAGAAGAAGAACCGGCUAACUCCGUGCCAGCAGCCGCGGUAAUAC